GGCUGCGUGGUAUAGUUGGUUAUCACAUCAGUCUAACACACUGGUGGUCCUCAGUUUGAGCCUGGGUGAAAUCA